AAAUAGAAGCAUGUAAGAAGGGAAGGACAUCACAUGCCUAACCUUCACCUACACCUGUAUUCUCUGUAACCAUCCUCUGUAAAUAAUUUCAAUGAUGAAAUAAAUAAAACUCUUUUGAGCGAAAUUGUCAUCUUCCAGAUAUCUUAUAUACUCUUAGAAAAUAACCAAGAACCUUACAUGCCAAUACUUGUGCUAAAGGAAGAAGAUUUUCUACUACUAAGCACUCUUCCAGAGACAGCUGUAAGCAAAUCACUUAGACAUAUUCUUUUAGGCCCGUUUGCUAUAUGUUGCGUUGGGCCUGUGUAACAGUCGCUGAAGUGAUCUUAUAUGAUGUGUGGAGCUAUGGCGGAGUUGACCAUAGACCUCUCUAUGGUUGAGGGCAAUUAGUGAAUCUAUCUUAGAAUUCCGAGAGAUGUACACUGGUUAGUAAUCUUGAACUCUAUUCUUUUAUUUUAGCAACAAAUGGAAGCAUGUUGGGCCUUGUUUGUAUUCUGAAAUGUUAUAAGAUAGGAAGUGAUAAAAGUAACUCAAUUUCAUAAAAAUGGAAAGAUCUGUUAAUAAAUUUCUAGACGCAAUUGAUCAUCUAGACUUUAGUCAAGAAUAUCAAGUUGCUUAUACAAUUUCCAUAGUUAAAACUAGAUUAAUUACAAGCAAACACUUGUAUGAAGAAAUGAAAAGCAAAAAUAUUCGAUUCAUUUGAAGAAGGAAACAUGAUAGCAUUAAUAGAAUCAAUUCUAUCUAGCCUUGAAAUAAUCCAAGACAAGUGCAACUAGUAAUAGAACCCAAAAUCGAGUAUAAAACAAUGGAUAAUAAUAAUAAUAACAAUAAUAAUAAUAAUAAUAAUAAUAAUAAUAAUAAUAAUAAUAAUAAUAUGGUGAUGUUGAUUCAAGAUGCAGAUCUCAAAUUACAAUUUAUUUGUGAAAGCCUAGAUAAGAUGUACCUAAGCUGGAAAUAUAGCUUAGGAAUAUACAUAGGAAUGUUAGAAGAAAAAAUUUGGUCUAUGUCUCAAAGGAGACAAAUGAUUAUAAAUACAAGAAUUAAUUUAACUAUAGAUCUCUAUGAACGAGAUAAUCAUUUAGAACUUUACAAAGACAUAGUUAAAACUUUACAAAGAUAAGAAAUUUAGGGAUAGAUGCAGAAAAGAUGAAUGGAGAAAUGCUCCAAUUUAUCAAAAUCAAUAAAACCCAUAAAUUCUAAAAUAUCAUAAAAAUUUGAAAAAAUUAGCAAAAAGGUCCUUGUUGUACUAAGUUUCAUACUCAUUGUUGUAAGCAUAUCAUUGCUGUUGUCAAUUUUAUUUCAUUUUUGGUUUCUUUGUUAAAUUAAAGAAAAAGUGUAAUAAAUCUUGAGUUAAUAAUGAAUUGUUGCAGGCUUAUGUAGUAACUGUAGAAUGUUUUGUUAUUCUUGUAGUAUUUGUCUCUUUCCAAUAGUCUGCUCUUUAUCUUGAACUGGUUCACACGCAAAACGAGUUUCUUUUGUUUAGAUUCUUUUGUUUAUUCCAAGAUGUUGAUGAUUUGGAUCCUCUUCUAAUUUAAUUUUUCCUAUUCUUUACAGGAGAUUUUGACACAUAGUAACUAAAUGAUUCUAUAGAGAGGAUUAAAUUUAUUCCUAACUAUCCUUAUUAAAACACAAAAACUCACCGGUUUUGGCUAUCUAAAAGCUAUCAAAUAAACUGCCGUUAAUUCUUUUUUCCAUUUUCUUUAAUAAUUCUUUUUUUUUUCUUUUCUUGAAAAGUUGUUGCUGUUUUGCUUCUGCUCUAAAAGAUUCUAGUAUACGCUGAACAUUAUCCAAAAAAUAAAAUAAAAUUGGGCAAGAUUAGCGAGUUUUUAAUAUUAUUAUUCUAUUGUUUUCUUAUCAUUUUCUUCAGUUUUCACUUUUUGUUUUAUUGUUCUCGGUCAGAAUAAUUACAAGGAUUGCAAUAUGCCUGGUUACUUGCCAUGGACUCUUCAUCUCAACAAACAAGUUUCCGAGAGUUGCUUCAACAAAAUAUUGUCGGAAUUCUGCAUACAUUUCAAGAAUCUCAAGCAUCAAACAACAACAUUUCAAUAUUUGUGAUAAUUCUUUUUUAUUUUACGGUUAAUGUACUAAUAAGAGGUUUUUAUCGUUUGAUUUGUAAGUGCUCAAUGUUUGGACUAGAGUUUUUUUUUUGUGGUUAAAAUGUUAAUCUUAAGAAAGAAAAUCUUAUUUUUUGAGAUAUUUUCAAGGCUUGGCAGCCUUUCUUAAAGAGUUUAGAGGAAAACCAAAAAAGCAAAGAAAAAUAAGGACUGAAGAA
rnacentral:lncRNA from 1 species